ACCCUCCUGAGUCUUAUUGCGCCAUUCCCACCUUUGGCAAUUACUGUACGAGUAGAUAGUGUUAUUACUCCAACGUUUGAAGUCAGCCCCUCUGCAUACCGCAGUCUGAGGAAGCCAUGUAUCGCGUUUGAGUCCGCCCCGACAACACCGAUAUCCGCAUUCGCUCAUGCGAUUGUGGGAUAAAGUAUAUAUUUACGUUCGUCUUUCGCAUCGGGGAAAUUUUCUUCGUUUCUGCCAGAGUCAUCAUUCUUCCUCGGCCGACAUGAGCUUACAAUCAAUCAAUUUUCGAGAUAAUUCAAGGCUAACGAGAUAUCAAAUUGUUGGAGCGGGGUGACCUUUAAAAAAAAGAAAAGAAAAACUUCGCACGGCCUCCCUCAUAACCCUAUUGGGUCGAUUCUUUUUUUAUGGAGCAGGAAAAAAAAAAGACUUUGUGCCACCUUCCGCUUGCGCAGAUGGAAAGCUAAAGCUUGAUUCGCGAAUCAACAAAUAAUGACCAGAAAUCUUUAAUCAGCUUCUGGCGCAACAGGUCCCUGCACUCCGAGUAUGUAAUCACAAUGCAUGGGCUUCCAAACGGCCAAAUUAGA
rnacentral:sRNA from 2 species